rnacentral:lncRNA from 1 species
GGUCGGGGGCCAGCUGAGUGGCGUCGGGUGGAGAUUCGGGCCCCUCUGUUGAUCGGCGAGUCUUACGUGAGUCGGCCAUCGGACUUUCAGGUUCAGUCGGUCGGGAAAAGUAUGCCCGACCGACACAUCCUCGGUCGGUGAUGGGCCGUUAAUUGGCCGGUGAUGGCGCCCGUCAGUCGGUCGCUCCGGCUGUCGAUCGGUCCCUCC